rnacentral:tRNA from 1 species
CAAAGAGUAGUUUAAUUUUAGAAUCCUAGCUUUGGGAGCUAGGGAUGGGAGUUAAAUUCUCCUCCCUUUGA